ensembl:snoRNA
AUCCUUUUGUAGCUCAUAAGCGUGUUGGUUGGGUUUUCACGUGCAUGCGUGAGAUGCGCCUCCCACAAAUCCUGUUAUGACGUUGACGUGGGCACAUUACCCAUCUGACA